UACGAAGGGGGCUAGCGUUGCUCGGAAUCACUGGGCGUAAAGCGCACGUAGGCGGACUCUUAAGUCGGGGGUGAAAUCCUGGAGCUCAACUCCAGAACUGCCUUCGAUACUGGGAGUCUUGAGUUCGGGAGAGGUGAGUGGAACUGCGAGUGUAGAGGUGAAAUUCGUAGAUAUUCGCAAGAACACCAGUGGCGAAGGCGGCUCACUGGCCCGAUACUGACGCUGAGGCGCGAAAGCCAGGGGAGCAAACGGG
rnacentral:rRNA from 1 species